rnacentral:rRNA from 1 species
UACGUAGGGCGCAAGCGUUGUCCGGAAUUAUUGGGCGUAAAGAGCUCGUAGGCGGUUUGUCACGUCGGAUGUGAAAGCCCGGGGCUUAACCCCGGGUCUGCAUUCGAUACGGGCAGACUAGAGUGUGGUAGGGGAGAUCGGAAUUCCUGGUGUAGCGGUGAAAUGCGCAGAUAUCAGGAGGAACACCGGUGGCGAAGGCGGAUCUCUGGGCCAUUACUGACGCUGAGGCGCGAAAGCGUGGGGAGCAAACGGG